rnacentral:rRNA from 1 species
UGAGGAAUAUUGGGCAAUGCCCGCAAGGGUGACCCAGCAACGCCGCGUGGAGGAUGAAGGUCGUAAGAUUGUAAACUCCUGUUAGAGGGGAAGAACAGCACCGAUUGGAUCGGUGUUUGACUGUACCCUCAGAGAAAGCCCCGGCUAACUACGUGCCAGCAGCCGCGGUAAUACGUAGGGGGCAAGCGUUGUCCGGAUUUACUGGGUGUAAAGGGCGCGCAGGCGGGAUAGCAAGUCAGAGGUGAAAUCCUACAGCUUAACUGUAGAACUGCCUUUGAUACUGUUAUUCUUGAGUUCGGGAGAGAGAGACGGAAUUCCAGGUGUAGGGGUGAAAUACGUAGAUAUCUGGAAGAACACCAGUUGCGAAGGCGGUCUCUUGGUCCGAUACUGACGCUGAGGCGCGAAAGCGUGGGGAGCAAACA